AUGGCUGUGCAAUCACUCGUGGCGGAGGAAUCUUUAAAUGGGUGGCUGCGGCGUCGGGCAUCUCGCAUCGGAUGUAUGAUUGUUGCGCAGAUCCGAAGCUCAACGGUGAUUGGAGUAGUGGCAUCAUGGAGAGUGUCUUGUGGAUUUGAGCGAAUAAAAGGUGAUGAAGGUUUUGGUGAAAGGUUGGUGGUUUUCUAUUCUUGUGCAAAAUUGGGACAGCAUAGCAGAACUAGUUUGACUGCUGCAACAUAG